rnacentral:lncRNA from 1 species
UCUCAAAAAUCCAAAGAGCUCCACCAAAGACUAGACCUUUCUGUAAUUCCCAGUCGGACCCAAUUCGGGUUCGGACCCCCUCCGCAUUUCCCAUCUCUCCUCCGACCUCAAAGUGUGUAUCGGACAUGGCGAAGGCUUCCAAGGGCAACCAUGAUGAGUUUGAAGACGAUGAUGAAGAAAAUCAAGCAGGGAAAGCAGAAGGGCAAGGUAGGGAGAAGAACCGGUCGAAACAUUCCGAAACAGAGCAGAGAAGGAGGAGCAAGAUUAAUGAGAGGCAAGCUUAAGCUCAGUGAUUACUGUUUACAUUUUCUUUUUCAGUUCUGGUUUGUAUUUGAUUUUGGAUUUUGGAUUUAGAAUAUGUAGGUGAAGCAGGGUAUUGUGUUGGGUUUAAUAUCCAAGAUUGUAUAUGUGAAGGGUCUCUGUGUAGUCACUGUCAUAUGUGUGUACUUUUUGUGUUUUUGAAGAAAUGACACCUUGCAAGCAUUUUCACAGUGUUACCUGAAUUGUUGUAGUUUCUGGACUCAAAUGCGAUGUUGUUUUACUGGUCUGUAUCUUUUUGCAAGAAGCUUAUUUCUGCAUAUGUUGUGGAAGAGGCAAACGGACAUGGUCCUGAAUAGUUAAUAGAUUUGUAUGCCAUUGAGUCACUGGUUGAAGGUUUUGUGAAAUUUCUGUUGUAGCGAAGAUGUAGGAUGAAAGAUUUAGGGUGGUAUGUAAGACUGCUAUGUUGUAGUGUGUUUUUGGGGUGAGUUGAUUGGUUCUUUACUUUUUAAUUGGAACUUGGUGUCAAAUUCCAUGAUUUCCAAAUUUUUUCAAAUGUUCUACCUUGUUUGAUAACAAUUUCCAGCCUAUCUGGUUAUCUUGUGUACGCCAAUUUGUUGUGCAAGUAAGCAAUUUACUACCAAGUUUAUUGGAAUGGCAUUGUCUGUUGACUUUAGAAUGUAGUCUUUGAUUCUUCAGCUCCAUUUAUUUCCACAUGAAGUCUUGGUGGUAGUGAUGGUUGUCUUUUAUUAUUGUUGUAUCAUCCUUUGCUGCUCUUUUAUGCUAUGCGGAUCUUUCUUUUUAGUAGCAUGGACAUAAACUCUUCACUCACCUCAGCAAUACAUCUUUCUGAGGCAGAUUUCAAAAGUUGAGAGAGAUCAUACCCGAAAAUGAUCAGAAAAGAGAUAAGGCUUCUUUCUUGUUAGAGGUUAUAGAGUAUAUACAGUUUUUACAUGAGAAGAUAAAUUUGUAUGAGGGUUCAUACCAAGGAUGGAAUCCAGAGCCAACGAAGUUGAUCCCCUGGAAAAGUCGUCAUAGGCCUGGAGAAAAUUUUGC